UGUUUGUCUUCUGUGUCUCUUUUUAUUCUUGAUAGAUUUCCCAGCCUCACUGAUGCUAAUCUCCUUGUCCAGGAAUCAGCAAAGGGUAAUUAGCCUCUGUGAUAAUGAUCUAUCUGUUGCAAGAUCAUGCCCUUCCAUCACACACCAUCUCGCAUGUUUUCUAACUAAGCACAGGAGCUGCUGUGGAGAAUGAGCACAGCCCUUGCACACUGUUAGGCAUCAGCUGCCCAAGCUCAGCACGGAAGCGAUUCCCACUGCUGGUACCAGGCUCAGAGCCUCUCUGUCCAAACUGGGCCUCGGCUGCCAUUACCAUGGAGGCAGGGGGAGUUUCCUGCUGGGCAGAACCUGGCAGCGGCAGGAAAAGAAACCCAAACUUCCUUUGUGGCUAAAAACAUGACAACAACAACAAAUUGUUUUUUUUAAGCUAUGCUCUGAAAUAACUUUUCACAGCAUGGUGUGUCUCCCUGUGGUAAAAGAAUAGAAAGGUCAAAAGCAGAAGGCAUCUUGUUUUCAUCAAAACAAAGAUUCUUGUUCAGGUGCCAAGCACUUCUGGCCACUUCAUUUCAUAGGCAAUCUUUAAAUUCUAGGUUUUGAAGCAUUCUGAAAUGAAAAGACAAUGACUGAAGAAGCAGAAUGGUGUGUAAAUCUAACCUGUUCUGCUGUGUGUUCUCCUGGCAGCAGGCACAGUGUCACCAGUGUCACAGCCAGGCUCCCGCCUUGGGAUGGGAGCCACUGCCUCAUGUGGGAGCGUCGCACGUCCACGGGGGCUGAACCUUCCCAUCUCCAUGUGGUGGCAUGUGCUACCACAACCAUUCUUCCAGACAGCAGCGAACACUUUCUGAGCCCUUUGCUCUCUGCAGAAGAGGAUGAAAGAGAGCUCUGGAAUGGGUGUCUGUAG
rnacentral:lncRNA from 1 species